AUGAAUUUUUAGGACGCUCUCUUUAGAGGUCCGACCAAUUUCAUUUUCCACACACCGUGAACACACAUCUUUUUUACACCCAUUUAUAAACUCACAAGUCUAUAAGAAUGUUUAAAAGUCUCUUAAUUGAGCAUAAAAGUUAAUA
rnacentral:misc_RNA from 1 species